rnacentral:lncRNA from 1 species
GAUUAUGUUGCACUGAGCGGGCAGCAGUCUCUGACAUCGCCCACAGACUCGAAUUUGUUUCAGAAAGUAGCAGAAAUCCGUUUUUGUCAUUCGUGUGUGUAGAGGGACAACGCAAAACUGAAUUUGUGUCGCUCUAUUUCUUUGACCGCUUCAGGUUGGCUGAAUUGAAUGCAUCGAUUUCAUGGACGACUCCAGUUAAGUAUGUAGUACUGACGAAUGUGAGCUCGUAACUGUUAGCAUGGCACAAACAUCAAGAUGAUUCCGGUUUCUGGAUUUUAGAAGCGUCUCGAACUGCUGUUUAAUGUGUUUUUUAAUUUAUUUAAUCCGACGAAAUAUCUGUGAGAAUGUAACUCACAUAGAGCUGUCUGAACAAUGACUACUUAUUGUUAAGCAUUGCAAGGCCUUGUCAUAAGAUGUGCAAGUGAUCUGUAAUUUAAUGUUCCUUUUGCAGAAUAUCUGCAAGUAAUAUAAUCUCUAUUAUCGUUUUGUAUAUAUAAUCUGUUUUUUCUUUUUAUGUACAGUCAUUUUUUUUAUAAUAAAGCACUCUCCUGUGCAG